rnacentral:rRNA from 1 species
UACGUAGGGUGCAAGCGUUACUCGGAAUUACUGGGCGUAAAGCGUGCGCAGGCGGUUAUGCAAGACAGAUGUGAAAUCCCCGGGCUUAACCUGGGAACCGCAUUUGUGACUGCAUAGCUGGAGUACGGCAGAGGGGGAUGGAAUUCCGCGUGUAGCAGUGAAAUGCGUAGAUAUGCGGAGGAACACCGAUGGCGAAGGCAGUCCCCUGGGCCUGUACUGACGCUCAUGCACGAAAGCGUGGGGAGCAAACAGG